AGGGGUGUAGCUCAAUUGGCAGAGCAACGGUCUCCAAAACCGUAGGUUCGGAGUUCGAGUCUCCGCACCCCUGCCA
rnacentral:tRNA from 2 species